AACGUAGGAGACAAACGUUAUCCGGAGUUACUGGGCGUAAAGGGCGUGUAGGUGGUAAUGUAAGUCUGGCGUGAAAUUUUUCGGCUUAACCGGGAAAGGUCGUCGGAUACAGCAUGACUAGAGGACGGUAGAGGCGUGUGGAAUUCCGGGUGUAGUGGUGAAAUGCGUAGAGAUCCGGAGGAACACCAGUGGCGAAGGCGACACGCUGGGCCGUACCUGACACUGAUGCGCGACAGCAUGGGGAGCAAACAGG
rnacentral:rRNA from 1 species